UACGGAGGGUGCGAGCGUUGUCCGGAAUCACUGGGCGUAAAGGGCGCGUAGGUGGCGCGGCAAGUCAACGGUGAAAGCUCGACGCUCAACGUCGAGUCGGCCGUCGAUACUGCUGGGCUUGAGCACUGUAGAGGCAGAUGGAAUUCCGGGUGUAGCGGUGGAAUGCGUAGAGAUCCGGAAGAACACCGGUGGCGAAGGCGGUCUGCUGGGCAGUAGCUGACACUGAGGCGCGACAGCGUGGGGGAGCAAACAGG
rnacentral:rRNA from 1 species